GAUGAACGCUGGCGGCGUGCCUAAUACAUGCAAGUCGAGCGGUAAGGCUUUCACAGUUUAUUUUUCCCCGAUUUCUUAAGAGAAAAUAUAAUGUCUCAAAAAGGAAUUGGACAAAACGGAAGAAUAAAAUGUGAAAGUACACGAGCGGCGGACGGCUGAGUAACGCGUAGGAAUGUACCCCAAAGUGAGGAAUAACUGCCCGAAAGGGUAGCUAAUACCGCAUGUGAUCUACGGAUUAAAGGAUUUAUCCGCUUUGGGAGCAGCCUGCGUAUGAUUAGUUUGUUGGUGAGGUAACGGCUCACCAAGACGACGAUCAUUAGCUGGUCUGAGAGGAUGAUCAGCCAGACUGGGACUGAGACACGGCCCAGACUUCUACGGAAGGCAGCAGUAGGGAAUUUUCCACAAUGGGGGCAACCCUGAUGGAGCAACGCCGCGUGCAGGAUGACGGCCUUCGGGUUGUAAACUGCUUUUAUGGGUGAUGAAUUUGACAGUAACCCAAGAAUAAGGGACGGCUAACUACGUGCCAGCAGCCGCAGUAACAC
rnacentral:rRNA from 1 species